CCUGAGGGUAGAGAAAUGUGGCUGUUUUUCAAAAUCAAUAUGGAUCUUUCUUUCCUGGUGUUUCCUGUCAUGUACUAAAUAUUAUAAAACAAGAAUCUGGGAAUCUUUACAACAUCCACUACUAGCGGGGUAAUGUGACAACACAAGUUGAAAGCGGGGCAGCAGCCAUAGACACAGUCUAAAUAGACAAUCCCAUUGGGAAACAGCCAAUGCAGAAUUGUGAAGUUCAGGGAUUGAUAUCAAAUACUCUGGCUUUACACAUAUGGUUCCAUCAGG